rnacentral:lncRNA from 1 species
UAAGCUUGAUAAAGGACAUCGGUGCAGACUGGGAUAUUGACUAUGAAUUGGAAGUGGGACUCACCGUGGAUCUUCCUCUCUUUGGAGACCUGACCAUCCCUCUCUCUCAGAAAGGAGAGAUCAAGCUGCCUACUUUCAAAGACCUCUUCUUUUGACUUCUAUUCAUCCCUCAUGUAUUCUUUCUUUUCUGAAACUUGAAUUGUAUGUUAAAAAUACGAUAUGUGCUUUAAGUUGAAUAAAUUGUUUUUACCGAUCCGAGGUAAUUUUAGAUCUUUUUUUUUUUAAUAAAGUUUUUGAGUUUACCUUUGAUCAAAAGAGAAGGCAUAUAAUCAUGAGAUCCUUUAAUUAUGAGUUUAGAGGUUCAUUAAAAUAGAACACAUUUCAUUACCAUCACGGUGGACACCUUCAACAUGAACUUCCUUUCUCAGAUGGGAUAAAGUGAUGACUUUCCCUCAACUGAAGUAACAUCUCCACCGUCGAUGAAAUGGCUUGGGUCAGUUCGAGGUAAACUAUCAAGAUUUGUAACAUGGUCAAAAUACAAAAUUAAAUAUACUAAAAACUUGUUUCUAAGACCUAAAGUCGUACGGGGAUGUAGCUCAGAUGGUAGAGCGCUCGCUUAGCAUGCGAGAGGUACGGGGAUCGAUACCCCGCAUCUCCAUUCGCUCUGUUUUAUUUUUGAGUAUUCAUUCAACUUACGGGGAUGGUUGGGUUUUUGUUCAUUCCAAUUUAUAGGGUUUGUAGAAUAAUAUCAAAUUUAAAUAUA